rnacentral:lncRNA from 1 species
GACUCACUCCCUCUUGAGCUAGGUAAGGAGAAAUUUGAGGUGGAAGUUUUAUGGCGUUUUUUAUGUUUUUAGUCGAUUACCCUAGUUAGGCUUAGAAUUGGUGUUUGUGUUAGUUAGGAAAGUUGUAGAGCAUGAUGAGAGGAUUAUUCUGUCAAAAUUUCAUAGGUUUUGGAGGUCGCCGGAAUUGACUUCCGGCCGACGCUGCCGGCGGAGCCGCCGCCGGUUAGGAGAUUUUUAGGGUUUUAAGUGUGGAAUAUUAAGAGGAGUAUAUUGAUGUGAUUUAUGGAAUUUUUGGAUGAGAUUUGGAUAGGUUUGCGAAUUUCCGAAGUUUGGUAUUUUUGGCGGUUAAUUAAUGUAGAAUCCGGCCGUAGGAUUUAAGUCGUAUUUUGGGGAGGUUGUAUUUACGACUGUUGAGUAUGAUAUUUAAGUUCGGAUCGUUCCGAUUUAAGAAUAUCGAAGUUAGGCAAUGAUGAGCGUAUUUAUGGCUCUCGGGUAAUUUUGCCUAUUUUGAUUAAAUAUUGGAUUAUUGGUUGGGAAAUUAAUAUUAUAUUUGGAACAGGACGUGAGGAGGCUCGAGCAGACGAGGCCCCAGAUCGACAUCAGGCUUAGGCCUAAUUUGUGAGUGGACGUUUAUUUUAAAUAAAUGCAUGCUAUAGUUCAUGGAUGAACAAUUAAUGUUGCGGAAUAUUUUAACGUCAUUUUAAUUUGACGAUUUUUAUUUCUCUUGGAGAGUCACCGAAAAUGGGAUUUUCGGUGGAUAUAAAUAUGUAUUUAUGAGCGAGUAUGUAUAUAAAUGCUAGCUAGCCCUAUGUGUCUGUCCACCUUAAUGGCGUAGCAUAUAGCCGCAUUAUGGUGUGACGUGAGCGUUGGACGUGAGCGUAGUAGCCCUAUUUGAGUGUUUAAUUCAUAUAGGGGGUAUGGACACAUAUUUAUACACCCGUCUGUCCACCUUGAUGGCGUAGUGUAGCACCGCAUUAAGGUCGUGACGUGAGCGUUGGACGCGAGCGUAGUAGCCCUAUAUAGACCCAUGAAUUUAUAUAGGGAGUAUGGACGAGUGUAAAUACAUAC